GUAGUCAUAUGCUUGUCUCAAAGAUUAAGCCAUGCAUGUCUAGGUAUAAGCAAUUAUACAGCGAAACUGCGAAUGGCUCAUUAUAUAAGUUAUCGUUUAUUUGAUAGUACCUUACUACAUGGAUACCUGUGGUAAUUCUAGAGCUAAUACAUGCAGUAGUCAUAUGCUUGUCUCAAAGAUUAAGCCAUG
rnacentral:rRNA from 1 species